rnacentral:rRNA from 1 species
AGAGUUUGAUCCUGGCUCAGAAUCAACGCUGGCGGCGUGCUUAACACAUGCAAGUCGAGCGGAAAGGCCCUUCGGGGUACUCGAGCGGCGAACGGGUGAGUAACACGUGAGUAACCUGCCCCUGACUCUGGGAUAAGCCUGGGAAACUGGGUCUAAUACCGGAUAUGACGCACUCUGGCAUCAGAUGUGUGUGGAAAGUUUUUUCGGUUGGGGAUGGGCUCGCGGCCUAUCAGCUUGUUGGUGGGGUAGUGGCCUACCAAGGCGACGACGGGUAGCCGGCCUGAGAGGGCGACCGGCCACACUGGGACUGAGACACGGCCCAGACUCCUACGGGAGGCAGCAGUGGGGAAUAUUGCGCAAUGGGCGGAAGCCUGACGCAGCGACGCCGCGUGGGGGAUGACGGCCUUCGGGUUGUAAACCUCUUUCAGCAGGGACGAAGUUGACGUGUACCUGUAGAAGAAGCGCCGGCUAACUACGUGCCAGCAGCCGCGGUAAUACGUAGGGCGCAAGCGUUGUCCGGAAUUAUUGGGCGUAAAGAGCUCGUAGGUGGCUUGUUGCGUCUGCCGUGAAAUCCCGUGGCUUAACUGCGGGUCUGCGGUGGAUACGGGCAGGCUAGAGGCUGGUAGGGGCAAGCGGAAUUCCUGGUGUAGCGGUGAAAUGCGCAGAUAUCGGAGGAACACCGGUGGCGAAGGCGGCUUGCUGGGCCAGUUCUGACGCUGAGGAGCGAAAGCGUGGGGAGCGAACAGGAUUAGAUACCCUAGUAGUCC